GAUGAACGCUGGCGGCGUGCCUAAUACAUGCAAGUCGAGCGAACAGAUAAGGAGCUUGCUCCUUUGACGUUAGCGGCGGACGGGUGAGUAACACGUGGGUAACCUACCUAUAAGACUGGGAUAACUUCGGGAAACCGGAGCUAAUACCGGAUAACAUUUGGAACCGCAUGGUUCUAAAGUGAAAGAUGGUUUUGCUAUCACUUAUAGAUGGACCCGCGCCGUAUUAGCUAGUUGGUAAGGUAACGGCUUACCAAGGCAACGAUACGUAGCCGACCUGAGGGGGGAGCCGGCCCACUGGGAAUGAGACACCGGCCACAACCCCAAGGGGGGGCAAGAGGGGGGAUAUUUGCGGAAGGGGGCAAACCCGAACGGGGCAAACCCGGGGGGUGAAGAAAGGGUUUCGGUUGGAAAAACCUUUUUUUUAGGAAAAAAACAAUUGGGAAAUAACUGUGCAGGGUUUGACGGAACCAAAUAAAAAAACCACGGCUAACUACUG
rnacentral:rRNA from 1 species